rnacentral:rRNA from 1 species
GUUUGAUCCUGGCUCAGGAUGAACGCUAGCGGCAGGCCUAAUACAUGCAAGUCGAGGGGCAGCACGGUUUUCGGACUGGUGGCGACCGGCGCACGGGUGCGUAACGCGUAUGCAACCUACCCUAUACAGGGGGAUAGCCCAGAGAAAUUUGGAUUAAUACCCCAUAGUACCAUUUGAGGGCAUCUGAGGAUGGUUAAAGAUUUAUUGGUAUAGGAUGGGCAUGCGUUAGAUUAGUUAGUUGGUGAGGUAACGGCUCACCAAGGCGACGAUCUAUAGGGGUUCUGAGAGGAUGAUCCCCCACACUGGCACUGAGAUACGGGCCAGACUCCUACGGGAGGCAGCAGUAGGGAAUUUUCCGCAAUGGGCGAAAGCCUGACGGAGCAAUCUCGCGUGAGGGAUGACGGCCUAUGGGUUGUAAACCUCUUUUUUCAGGGAGGAACAAAAUGACGUGUACCUGAAGAAUAAGCAUCGGCUAACUCCGUGCCAGCAGCCGCGGUAAUACGGAGGGUGCAAGCGUUGUCCGGAUUUAUUGGGUUUAAAGGGUGCGUAGGCGGGCGUUUAAGUCAGUGGUGAAAGCCUGCAGCUUAACUGUAGAACUGCCAUUGAUACUGGAGGACUUGAGUAUAGAUAAGGUAGGCGGAAUUGAUGAUGUAGCGGUGAAAUGCAUAGAUAUCAUCAGGAACUCCGAUUGCGAAGGCAGCUUACUGGUCUGUAACUGACGCUGAGGCACGAAAGCGUGGGGAGCGAACAGGAUUAGAUACCCUGGUAGUCCACGCCGUAAACGAUGUCAACUAGCCGUUGGAGAUCUUAGUAUCUUUAGUGGCGUAGCUAACGCGCUAAGUUGACCGCCUGGGGAGUACGGUCGCAAGAUUAAAACUCAAAGGAAUUGACGGGGGCUCACACAAGCGGUGGAGCAUGUGGCUUAAUUCGA